CCACCAGCUGCUUGUGUAAACGACUUUACUUUGUCGCUGGCAUCAUUAAAGAGAGAGAGGGCGGCAGACAGAAGACACUGAAAAGGACGAAAGAGAGACGCAGACAUACGCAGACAUUACUUCAAAGAUGUGCUCAACAGGACUGAGGGUUCACUCAGCGUCAAAACUGAAAACUAAACUGAGCUAAAGUGGAGCUGUUAUACAUACUCAGAUAAAACAAACACUGAGCUGUUUCCAGACACAAGAUACAGAUACUGUACAAUAUCCAAGACACUGGAGAGCUAAGAGCUGGAAUCAGGAUGUUGGAGCUCAGUUUAGAGUUAGCUUAGCAUAAAGACUGGAAGCAGGGGGAAACAGCUAGCCUGCCUCUCAAGCUCACAAAUGAACUCAUUCAUUGAAAAGUUUCUCCUUCAUGUGUGGUUGAGACGCUUGAUGCCACUAAGACCUAAACACUGGUCCUUCCAGUGCAGCCAUUGUGCCCUGCUACAGAUAAGUUGAAACCAAGAGCAGCCAAUGAGAGAAGCUCAACUCGCAGUACAAAGCAAUGGGUGACGUCACGAUUCACACUUGUAAAGCCCCAUUAAACCAUGUGUAACUCGGAUUAUUUUGCUUGGGACACUGGUGACCUUAGUGUGAGUAUCGGUUCAGACAAACUGGACCACAUUAAACUGGAGAGCCACAGACAGUAAAAGUGUGAUUGACAGACAAAAAGAAUGAAUCCAUCCUCUCGCAUUAUGGCACUCCGAGACGUCGUUUGUACGUUCUUCUUUAAAAGCACUCGUGCUCUCAGAGUCGUCAAAACUACAUUAGUCUUAAUGAGCUGUCGGCUCAUUAGGCCGUCAGCAGCGGAGAGAAGAAACACUCCAGAGACAGAACCGGCUCGUUUGUAUUCAGCUGCAGAUCUGAGCUGAACACCAGGUGGUAACAUGUUGCUACAAACCCCAUGAUGCACUGCUGCUGCAUCCACAGGAGGGGCAGUUUGGUCGAGGGUAGCAGACAGAGGGCUGAGUGAAUGUUACAGAACAUUUCAGCCAGUUUUUGAGGAUGAAAAAUUGUUCUGAAAGCUUUUCACUGAACAACACAAAAUGAACCAAAGCCAUUCCGAUUAUAUUUUAUUUGUGUUAUUUAUCAACUCACAAUGCUUUAAAUAUUGUGUGAUUAGAGCUUGCCAGAUGUGAGGAUUUGCUGCUUUUGCCUGUUUUAUAUCACACUGAAUUGAAUAUGUUUGGGCUACUUUCAUAUGAUACCAGAAGGGGGAAAAUUCUCUCUCUCUCUCUCUCAUGGAAAGCACAAACGUUAGGAUAUUAUUAUUUAUUUCCGCCCCCACGUUAGUUAUUUAAGAAACCCCCACAAAGCUCAUUUUAUUACUCAAACCCUGCUUUCUGGCAUUAAACCAUCCAAAAUAGUGGGAGAGUGAUCAAUCAAUAGCCAAAAUUGAAUGGCAAUAACAAAAAACAUACGAGGACAGUCACAUAUUUAUAGCACAACAUAUUCUGCAUAAUGAGGACUUUUAUUUUUGGUACUUUAAGUAUAUUGAUGAUAACUAAAAUGUUGAAUUCAUGCAGUUUUACUUGUAACAGUAUAGAGUCAUUUGAAGUUGUGAUAUUGAAGUAAAAUAUGUGAAUACCUCCUCUACCACUGAUAUUUACAGUAUAUAUUGUAGGAAAUGUGUUACAGGAGGAAAUGUGUCCACAAAUAUGAUCUCCAAAUAAACAUUUGCAUGAGAAUGGUU